rnacentral:rRNA from 1 species
CCUACGGGUGGCUGCAGUGGGGAAUCUUGCGCAAUGGGCGAAAGCCUGACGCAGCGACGCCGCGUGGGUGAUGAAGGCCUUCGGGUCGUAAAGCCCUGUCAAGAGGGACGAAACCUCGCCGACCUAACACGUCGGCGACCUGACGGUACCUCUGAAGGAAGCACCGGCUAACUCCGUGCCAGCAGCCGCGGUAAUACGGAGGGUGCGAGCGUUGUUCGGAAUCACUGGGCGUAAAGCGCGUGUAGGCGGCCUCCUCAGUCUGGUGUGAAAGCCCG